UGAUUUGGUGGCAUAUAGGGCCUGGCACUUUACCAACGUUAUUCCUGACUUUGCCAGAACAGCUCAAGGCAGGCAGGACUGCAAUUCUUUUAUAAGAAUUUUGUGGAGUGAAGUGAAGGGACAGACUUUUAAGAAAAGAUGUUCACAAUGGAAAAAGGAUCAAAUGAACAAAAAUUAUUCUCCUUGAUCCAUUGAGAAACGUUUGUACGGUGUGACGAAGCACAGAGGCUUUGGCAUCAGAAGGAUGUGGGCUGAGAUCCUGCCUUUGCCAGCUUGUGACCUACGGGAAUUGGUUUAACAUUUUUGGUCUUCAGUUUUAACAUCUACACAUUGAGAAAAUAAUACGUACUUUACAAGGUUCUUGUAAGGUUUGGUAGUAAGAUGUGCACAGUGCCUAGAAGCCCCACCUCCCCAGUUACCUAUAUACCUUUGUGGUACUUUGGAAAGGAAUCAUGAUCAUUUGAUCCAAGCUAUUCCUUUGUCCAGAGAGGCAGAUGGCUGAUUCAAGAUCACAAUGGAUGAAAACUAUUGGCAGAGCUGGGACUUGGGCACCUGGCUUCCAGGGCAGUACUGCUUCCUCCUCACCUCCCUGCCUAUUCAUAUAGGUGGUCCCAAUAGUCCUUGAACACAGCCAAGUGCAUUUUUUUUCCCUGCUAAAUUACUGACUGGAUGGCACUUCCUUGUGAUGACUCUUCAGAGGAGAAGACACAGGUGUGGGAUGAAUCCAUCAACAGAAGGAAGAGAACAGCCUCCUUGCCUUGCCAGGUUGGUGGUGGGAUGUUCAAUGGUUUCUAAAUAGAAGGAUUUCCUUUGCCUUUUUCCAUUUCUUGGCUCUUUCCUCAUAAUCCUUUGCAAUAGGUCAAAAGUGCUCUU
rnacentral:lncRNA from 12 species